GCGUACACAACCUACCUUAAAGUGAGGGACAGGCCUGGGAAACUGGGAUUAAUACCUCAUAGCAUCUCGAAAAUGCCUAUUUUGAGAUUAAAGAUUUAUUGCUUUUAGAUGGGUGUGCGUGCCAUUAGAUAGUUGGUGAGGUAACGGCUCACCAAGUCUACGAUGGCUAGGGGGCGUGAGAGCGUGGUCCCCCACACGGGUACUGAGACACGGACCCGACUCCUACGGGAGGCAGCAGUAAGGAAUAUUGGACAAUGGCGCAAGCCUGAUCCAGCCAUCCCGCGUGCAGGAUGACGGCUC
rnacentral:rRNA from 1 species